UGGAUCGUCCUGUAAUUAUUUUGACAAAUAAUUUAAUUUGCUGUUUUCAGGAAUUUGUCCACUCUUUUGCCUCAGUUUUCACAACUGGUGUUUUAUCACUGGCUGCCUGCUGUGACUGUUUCCUCUAAUAACUCAAGAGUAAUUUAACAACACGAAGUGUGACUCUCCAGAGCUGGUGACUUUUAGGGAGAUAUUGUUAGCAAAAUGUGCUUUUCGUCAUCAAAUGUCUUCACUAUUAGCUGUCAGUGUUGUUCGCAUGACCAGUCGACUACGUGACUUUGCGAACAAGGCGAGUUUCUCGCUGGUCCCUGCUACAGCCUUGGCACGCCCCAUCUUCUAUAGGUCCGUGACAGCUACUGCUUCUCACAUAAGUAAUUUUGGGGCCACUGUGAUGUACUCUCAACCAAGGAUUUUUUUUUGUCUUCUCCUUGCCUGUCUACUUACUUGAAAGUAACAAUCCCAUGCGAAGUCCACAGGCACCUUUUCUGAAACUGCUCCACUUCCCCAAGCAGAUGAGGGAAGAGAUGGGAGGAAAAUCCUUCGAAUGAGACGUGGGCUGGGACAGCGAGCGAGCUCUUCCUAUGUCUGCCUACACGGGGGAGAAGCUAGAUGGUUCCUGUAUAUGAGACUGCUUCCACCGGAAAUACUGGCACAAACACUUGGGGUUUGUCUUGUACAUGGCAUUCCAAGAGGUUACAAAAUUGACUUUUGGCUGUAUUCAGGUGGACCCCUACUCCUUUGUACAAUAUUCAUCUCUGUGAUUAUGUGAGAGAAGGGUCGUGGCCAUCGUGUCGCUGUGGUACACCAGGUCCCAGAAUGGCAGCUGACGUGAGUAGCUACCGAAGUCAUGCUGUGGGAUGUGACGAUCAGCAGCUCCAGGUGUAACAGCUGCAUCUGAAGUUAACAUGAGGGAAGCCCUCUCAGGGAAGGGGAGCAACAUUGUAACUGUGAGCCUGACUCCCUGGUCUCUGUGGAUACAUUCUAGCCCCCAAGUGCCGGGAUGAUUAAGCUCCUCUCACUGUUGCAAAAUACAUGAUCUGCUAGUUCUGUGACCCUUGCUUAUGUAUAUCUCCUGGCUGUGAUAAGACAACUUUAUUCUCUGAGUUCCCCAGGAACAUGACGACCUCCAGAAAGAAAAAUUCUGUUGGUACCCAUCACGAAUGACAGAAGAAAGAGAUUAUGUGACACUCUGUAGUUUGUCCCACCGGGUGGUUGACAUCCUUAACCCCCCUCCUUCCCCGCCCAUUUCCCUACCUAACUGCCUCGCGAUUCUGUAUGAUUUUAAGAUGGCUCUUCAGGACACCAGUCCACCAUCUUCCGAUUAUGCUGGCUAAUCAUCUAAAUUUUCCUCUCUCGACCACUGGCUUGUUUACAAUUGACGGGCACCAGAUUGCGGUGAGCAGAAUGAGCCCCUUUUUACU
rnacentral:lncRNA from 1 species